rnacentral:lncRNA from 1 species
GGCACAGGGUGAGGCCCCGGUGGACACCCGGACGCAGUAGAGACCAAUCUUGCUCAAAGACGUUUCGCUCCUUCUGGUGGGGAAGAAGGGUGGACGAGCUAACUCGCUGAGCCUGAGACCCUGCCCUCUCAGAAUUCGCUUGGGGUCAGAAAGUGGGUGGCAGGUCUCCAACCAACUCCGCCUGGCUACCCGCUGGGGCUUCCAGGAGCUACCCGCUGGAGCUCCAAGGAGCAGAACUCAGCCCCAUGCCAAAAAGGAGUCCCGGCGGAAGCAGGGAGUGGAAACCAUUACUUUGAUUGGUGGGAGAAGCAGAAAAGGAUUUGGACAGAAAAUACGCAGGAAGAAGGAAUCAACGCCUCGUACAGGAGGCAGGCUCUGGGAUUCAUUCCUUUUGAAUGUAAACGCCUCUGCCUCCCUAUUGCCUGCGGAAUAAAAA